GCCUGGGCAAUGGAGUGAGACGCUUUAUCUAAAACAGUAUAAAAACAGGAAAAUAAAUCUCAACUUGGUUCUACUCUUUCUGCCCUUCUCACUACUGCACUUGACUAAUCUUAA
rnacentral:sRNA from 1 species